rnacentral:rRNA from 1 species
AUUGAACGCUGGCGGCAGGCCUAACACAUGCAAGUCGAGCGAGCGGCGGAGGGGUGAGUAAUGUAUGGGAAUCUGCCCGAUAGAGGGGGAUAACUACUGGAAACGGUGGCUAAUACCGCAUAAUAUCGGGUGAACCCAUAGGGUAUUAGCUGGUAGGUGGGGUAAAGGCUAACCUAGGCCAAGAUCUCUAGCUGGUCUGCGAGGAUGAUCAGCCACACUGGGCCUGAGACACGGCCCAGACUCCUACGGGAGGCAGCAGUGGGGAAUAUUGCACAAUGGGCGCAAGCCUGAUGCAGCCAUGCCGCGUGUAUGAAGAAGGCCUUAGGGUUGUAAAGUACUUUCAGCGGGGAGGCGUUACCCGCAGAAGAAGCACCGGCUAACUCCGUGCCAGCAGCCGCGGUAAUAC